AUCUCGCAUGAGGGAAUGCAGUGGAAAUCCUCCCGGUUUUUCGGGAGAUUGAGAACGUAAUGCCCGACCCAGC
rnacentral:misc_RNA from 1 species